rnacentral:rRNA from 1 species
GUGAGGAAUUUUCCGCAAUGGGCGAAAGCCUGACGGAGCAAUGCCGCGUGAAGGAUGAAGGCCUAUGGGUUGUAAACUUCUUUUCUUAGAGAAGAAUAUUGACGGUAUCUGAGGAAUAAGCAUCGGCUAACUCUGUGCCAGCAGCCGCGGUAAGACAGAGGAUGCAAGCGUUAUCCGGAAUGAUUGGGCGUAAAGCGUCUGUAGGUGGCUUCAAAAGUCUCCUGUCAAAGAUCAGGGCUUAACCCUGGGCCGGCAGGAGAAACUCUGAGGCUAGAGUUUGGUAGGGGCAGAGGAAAUUCCCGGUGGAGCGGUGAAGUGCGUAGAGAUCGGGAGGAACACCAAAGGCGAAAGCACUCUGCUGGGCCACAACUGACACUGAGAGACGAAAGCGAGGGGAGCAAAAGGGAUUAGAAACCCGAGUAGUCC